rnacentral:misc_RNA from 1 species
ACCAGGAAAAGAAAAAACGAAAACCAAAAAAACGAAAAACAGGGAAGAUUGGCUGGAAUGAAAAAAAAAAAAUAAAAAAGAAGAUUUGGGGGAUGGGUGCAAGAGAGAGGGUGAGAGAGGGGAGCAGGGAGGUAUUUAUAGAUGUCGGUUGGCUGGGGCAGGGGAGAGUUGAAGUAACAGUGGUUAAAACGGAUAAUCUUGAAGAAAUGGAAGAUUUCAGUGUUUUUGAUGACGGAUAUACCUAAAUAGAAUGUGAUGAUGAUGAUGAUAAUUUCAUAAGAAUCUUCAGUGAUAA